GCUAUGAAUUGAUUAUAAUCAAUAUUACCAGUAAGCUCGUUUGUCUGAUUAAUCGCAGCAUAUAAAGUGUAUAUGGUACACUGAUAAAAAUAAGCCGUCUGAUAAAAUCAACACUAUUAGGAUCAUAACUAUUUCAGAGAUACUUUAACUGAAAACGCAUAGAAAUAAAUGUCGAAUUUUGAAAAUAUAUUAGUUACAAAAUAAAUACGAUUUGUUCCCUACUUUUGGAUACUCGACAAAUUUUUUUAGAUUACUUAAAAUGUGGCAACUUGCAGCUGCAACCGGAGAAGCAAAUGAAAUAUUAAUUGAAAAAAAAAAAAAAUUACACACUCGUAUAUAAAGCACACCUUUUGUCGCAAAACGUUAAUAAGUGCGAAAUAAUGAACGCUCUGGAAAUUGGGAAUAGGAAGGGAAAUUUCUCGUAGGGGAAGCCAAGGAGGAAAGAGAAGGGAGGAAGGAGUAAGAAGCGGUGUCAAAGUGCACGAAUUACAUUUUGCUUCUUAUUCGUCCAUUUUGGUUAUUUUUUUAAUAUUUUCUUUUGGCUCAAACAGUACACACAGGGUAUCCUAAAUUCGAGUACACUCGGUUGUGAUCAGUAUUUGGCAUCAGUGGAUCGAACAUUCAAGAACUCAAAUGAUAAGCUUGUUUACGAACUAAAAGUAAUGCUGAUAAUUUCAAAUCGUAUGAUUUGAAUUUGGACUAUGCCAAAAAUCUAGAGUCAAGUCGGGUCAAGUCAAAUAAUCGUAUAUUCAAGACAUUCAUGCUAGUGUAUAUAUAUAUACAUA